AGCGAUGAGACUAGAUCUUGGC
rnacentral:miRNA from 1 species